rnacentral:lncRNA from 1 species
GGGGAGUCUGGGGUCCGGCGAGUCAAAAUGACAUCACAUCUUAGAUCGCCCAUCUAACCCAAUCCGGCGUAGUGUCCCCGGGGGGCUGAGGCACAAGGGCCGUCUCUGCACACGCAGGUGACACCUAGAGCUGAUUCUUCGCCAUGGUCAUUGUGUAGGAGCCAUCUUGCAGAAAGAAGGUCCAGGCAGACGGCAGCAGGUUCUGCAGGGCUCACUGGGUUGCACGGUACAGCAGACGAAAAGGGUCGGGAAGCAGAGGAGCUUGUAUUUGCUGCUGGGGCCCGUUAAUCCUUUUUAUGCUAUUAAAAGAAAGACAGUAGUGCAACUCAAUUUAAGUUAGGACACGUGACUUCUUUUUAAAUCUCUUCUAACAGCCAUUGCUUUUCCUAUUUCAAUUUGGUUGGGCUAGCCAUGACAGAACGUGAUCCUUUGGGCAGAAGGUCUGGAAGCGUUUGGUCAUACUGGCCUAUGGAGAAUCUUUCACCAAUGGAUGCUUUUGUUUCCAAACGUCAGAGAUAUGCCUCAGACUGGUAUUUUCUUGCCUUCCAAACAGACCCAAAAAACCACACUCAAAGAGUGAUGCACAUCAGAAAGUCAGUGUUUUCCAAAAAUCUUAGUAAAUCACCUGGGACACUUAUAAGAAUUCUGAUUCCCACACUAGAGCAACUGAAUAGGCUCUCGGAAGAGAAGAAAGGUUUUAAGGUAAGAAUCCAAUUUUUGAACCCCUCUCAAGAGCACCCAGUUGGAAAGAAGUACAAUAAAUCACUGCAUUGCAAUAGUGUAACGGUUCUGAGUAGUUGAUAAAAUCUAUACAAAGGCUACAUAGUAAUUUUUUAUUCAGAGUUAGAAUUGCUUUCUUGUUUCUGCAAUUUCAUCUCACAUGACAAGUUUUGAGACUAGAGGUUUCUGGGCCACAUAUCUCAGCCCAUUGUGGAUUCCUCCCUCUGCCCCUGCAGUCCAGUUUCUAUCUCUCCUUUUCAAAAUACUUGGCUCCAAGAAGUCCCUGGUUUCCAGACUGAAUGUUUAUGCAAUCACCAAAAAAAUUGUUUUUAAAAUUUUAAAGCAUGCUUUUACACUGGAACUUGGAGAUUCUUUAAAAUACAACUUUGAUCUUUACUUGAACACCAUUUGACAGCAAAAGGAUUAAGCAAUUGUGGGUUGUUCCAUUAUCCCUGCAGGAUACAUGAGAACUUCAAGGAAUUAUAUAUCACACGAAAGAAACUGCAUUUAAUGUGAUUGAAAGACACAGAGGUUAGAAGGUUAGAAAGCUGACUUUCUGGUUUAUGUCCCCAGGGCAUGAACUAAUCACAAUAUCUAUGCAACCUCAUGGAGAAACUGGGAGUAAUCUUUUGUUCCUCACCUGUUGCUUGCUUUGCCAUUAGGAAACCUCUCUUCCCUUUCCCAUUGGAACAGAUAGAACAGUCUGAUUAUUUGCAGCUAAGCAACUGAAACUUGCUUUCUAUGAGAAGUUCAAUAGAAUAACAUAUUUACCAUUUUUAGUUUAUUUUAUGCGGCUUAUGCAAGGUUAGGAGUUAAUCCAUGUUAUAAUUUUUGCUUAGGAGAAAGUAAAAUGUUUUGUUCUUAAAGUUAUUCAGCCUUUUGAAUAUUUUCUUUUUCUUAUUGAUUAAAUCACAUAUUCCUAAAAAUCAAAGGAUAUGUGAUAGGCUAGUAUCGUGAAACAGGUGGAGAAAUGAAAAUUCAAAGAAUGUUAACAUUUUUGUGUCAAGUAAGUGAAUGAGGCAUUAUGCAAAAGGUAUGAAAGACCCCAGAUCACAGGAUAGAAAAAGCUUCAUUUUUUUUU